GGGUUGUAAACUUCUUUUGUAAGGGAAUAAAGUGUAGUACGUGUACUAUUUUGCAUGUACCUUGCGAAUAAGGAUCGGCUAACUCCGUGCCAGCAGCCGCGGUAAUACGGAGGAUCCGAGCGUUAUCCGGAUUUAUUGGGUUUAAAGGGUGCGCAGGCGGGAGGUUAAGUCGGCGGUGAAAUUUUGCAGCUUAACUGUAAAAGUGCCUUCGAAACUGGUUUUCUUGAGUGUGGAUGAAGUAGGCGGAAUUUGUGGUGUAGCGGUGAAAUGCAUAGAUAUCACGAGGAACUCCUAUUGCGCAGGCAGCUUACUAAACCACUACUGACGCUCAUGCACGAAGGCGUGGGGAUCAAACAGGAUUAGAUACCCUGGUAGUCCACGCAGUAAACGAUGAUUACUAGUUGUUUGCGAUACAAUGUAAGCGACUGAGCGAAAGCGUUAAGUAAUCCACCUGGGGAGUACGUUCGCAAGAAUGAAACUCAAAGGAAUUGACGGGGGCCCGCACAAGCGGAGGAACAUGUGGUUUAAUUCGAUGAUACGCGAGGAACCUUACCCGGGCUUGAAAUGCGGCGGACCGGCAGAGAGAUCUGCCUUCCCUUCGGGGCCGCCGUGUAGGUGCUGCAUGGUUGUCGUCAGCUCGUGCCGUGAGGUGUCGGCUUAAGUGCCAUAACGAGCGCAACCCUCAUCAUUAGUUACUAACAGGUCAUGCUGAGGACUCUAGUGAGACUGCCAUCGUAAGAUGCGAGGAAGGUGGGGAUGACGUCAAAUCAGCACGGCCCUUACGUCCGGGGCGACACACGUGUUACAAUGGGUGGUACAAAGGGCAGCUACAUGGCGACAUGAUGCUAAUCUCCAAAACCACUCUCAGUUCGGAUCGGAGUCUGCAACUCGACUCCGUGAAGCUGGAUUCGCUAGUAAUCGCGCAUCAGCCACGGCGCGGUGAAUACGUUCCCGGGCCUUGUACACACCGCCCGUCAAGCCAUGGAAGCCGGGGGUACCUGAAGUCCGUAACCGUCAAGGAGCGGCCUAGGGUAAAACUGGUAACUGGGGCUAAGUCGUAACAAGGUAGCCGUACCGGAAGGUGCGGCUG
rnacentral:rRNA from 1 species